UGACUGAGUGGGAUGCGAGUGGAAU
rnacentral:piRNA from 1 species